rnacentral:rRNA from 1 species
GGAUGCGAUCAUACCAGCACUAAAGCACCGGAUCCCAUCAGAACUCCGAAGUUAAGCGUGCUUGGGUGAGAGUGAUGGGUGACCUCCUGGGAAGUCCUCGUGUUGCAUUCC